rnacentral:rRNA from 1 species
AUUGCCCUAGUAACGGCGAGUGAAGCGGCAAAAGCUCAAAUUUGAAAUCUGGCCCUAGCGGUCCGAGUUGUAAUUUGCAGAGGAUGCUUUUGGUGCGGUGCCUUCCGAGUUCCCUGGAACGGGACGCCAUAGAGGGUGAGAGCCCCGUACGGUUGGACGCCUAGCCUUUAUAUAGCUCCUUCGACGAGUCGAGUAGUUUGGGAAUGCUGCUCUAAAUGGGAGGUAAAUUUCUUCUAAAGCUAAAUACCGGCCAGAGACCGAUAGCGCACAAGUAGAGUGAUCGAAAGAUGAAAAGCACUUUGAAAAGAGGGUUAAAUAGCACGUGAAAUUGUUGAAAGGGAAGCGUUUGCGACCAGACCUUCUCCAGGGGGAUCAACCGUUGUUUUCAGCGGUGCACUCCCCCUGGUUUAGGCCAGCAUCGGUUCUCUUAGGGGGAUAAAGGCCUGGGGAACGUAGCUCUUUAGGGAGUGUUAUAGCCCCUAGCGUAAUACCCUUCAGGGGACCGAGGACCGCGCUUCGGCAAGGAUGCUGGCGUAAUGGUCGUCAACGACCCGUCUUGAAACACGGACCAAGGAGUCGAACAUUUGUGCGAGUGUUUGGGUGUUAAACCCUCACGCGUAAUGAAAGUGAACGGAGGUGAGAGCCUUAGGGUGCAUCAUCGACCGAUCCUGAUGUCUUCGGAUGGAUUUGAGUAAGAGCAUAACUGUUCGGACCCGAAAGAUGGUGAACUAUGCGUGGAUAGGGUGAAGCCAGAGGAAACUCUGGUGGAGGCUCGCAGCGGUUCUGACGUGCAAAUCGAUCGUCAAAUCUGCGCAUGGGGGCGAAAGACUUAUCGAACCAUCUAGUAGCUGGUUACCGCCGAAGUUUCCCUCAGGAUAGCAGUGUUGUCUUCAGUUUUAUGAGGUAAAGCGAAUGAUUAGGGACUCGGGGGCGCUAUAUUGCCUUCAUCCAUUCUCAAACUUUAAAUAUGUAAGAAGCCCUUGUUACUUAGUUGAACGUGGGCAUUCGAAUGUACCAACACUAGUGGGCCAUUUUUGGUAAGCAGAACUGGCGAUGCGGGAUGAACCGAACGCGGGGUUAAGGUGCCAGAGUGGACGCUCAUCAGACACCACAAAAGGUGUUAGUACAUCUUGACAGCAGGACGGUGGCCAUGGAAGUCGGAAUCCGCUAAGGACUGUGUAACAACUCACCUGCCGAAUGUACUAGCCCUGAAAAUGGAUGGCGCUCAAGCGUCUCACCCAUACCUCGCCCUUAGGGUAGAAACGAUGCCCUAAGGAGUAGGCGGCCGUGGAGGUUAGUGACGAAGCCUAG